rnacentral:misc_RNA from 1 species
GUGAGUCAUCGAAUCUUUGAACGCACCUUGCGCUCCCGGCAGAUUUAAUCUGGGGAGCAUGCCUGUUUGAGGGCCGCGAAUUGUUUCGAACGACAGCUUUUUUUUCUUGUUGAGAAAGAGCUGGCGGAUCGGUAGUGAGGGUCUCUGCCAUUUACCGUGGCUCCCUCGAAAUGCAUUAGCGCAUCCAUUGGAAGGCGGAAAGACGGACGAAAGCUCGAGUUUUUUUGCCCUCGCUUCCCUGCCGGGUUUUGAUAAUGUCAGGACUUCGGAGGCGAAGAGAGGGCGGGAGCUGGACGCAAC